rnacentral:rRNA from 1 species
AUUGAACGCUGGCGGCAGGCCUAACACAUGCAAGUCGACCGAGCGGCGGACGGGGGAGUAAUGUCUGGGAUACUGCCUGCUGGAGGGGGAUAACUACUGGAAACGGUAGCUAAUACCGCAUACUAUUAGAUGUGCCCAGAUGGGAUUAGCUAGUAGGGGGGGUAACGGCUCACCUAGGCGACGAUCCCUAGCUGGUCUGAGAGUAUGACCGGCGACACUGGAACUGGGACACGGUCCAGACUUCUACGGGAGGCAGCAGUGGGGAAUAUUGCACAAUGGGCGCAAGCCGGUUGCAGCCAUGCCGCGUGUGAAGAAGGCCUUCGGGUUGUAAAGCACUUUCAGCGGGGAGGCGUUACCCGCAGAAGAAGCACCGGCUAACUCCGUGCAAGCAGCCGCGGUAAUAC